rnacentral:rRNA from 1 species
GACGAACGCUGGCGGCGUGCUUAACACAUGCAAGUCGAACGGUGAAGCGCCUUCCUUUUUGGUGGGUGUGGAUGAGUGGCGAACGGGUGAGUAACACGUGAGUAACCUGCCCCCUUCUUCUGGAUAACCGCAUGAAAGUGUGGCUAAUACGGGAUAUUCUGGGUCUGUCGCAUGAUGGGUCUGGGAAAGAUAUUGUUUCGGUGGGGGAUGGGCUCGCGGCCUAUCAGCUUGUUGGUGGGGUGAUGGCCUACCAAGGCGGUGACGGGUAGCCGGCCUGAGAGGGUGGACGGUCACACAGGGACUGAGACACGGCCCAGACUCCUACGGGAGGCAGCAGUGGGGAAUAUUGCACAAUGGGCGCAAGCCUGAUGCAGCGACGCCGCGUGAGGGAUGGAGGCCUGCGGGUUGUGAACCUCUUUCGCCAGUGAAGCAGGCCUGCCUCGUUUGUGGGUGGGUUGACGGUAGCUGGAUAAGAAGCGCCGGCUAACUACGUG